GAGCAGUGUGUGUUAUCUGGAGUAGAGGAGCAGUGUGUGUUACCUGGAGUUGAGGAGCAGUGUGUGUUAUCUGGAGUAGAGGAGCAGUGUGUGUUAUCUGGAGUAGAGGAGCAGUGUGUGUUACCUGGAGUUGAGGAGCAGUGUGUGUUAUCUGUAGUAGGGGAGCAGUGUGUGUUAUCUGGAGUAGAGGAGCAGUGUGUGUUAUCUGGAGUAGGGGAGCAGUGUGUGUUAUCUGGAGUAGAGGAGCAGUGUGUGUUAUCUGGAGUAGGGGAGCAGUGUGUGUUAUCUGGAGUAGAGGAGCAGUGUGUGUUAUCUGGAGUAGAGGAGCAGUGUG